rnacentral:rRNA from 1 species
GACGAACGCUGGCGGCGUGCUUAACACAUGCAAGUCGAACGGAAAGGCCCUGCUUUUGUGGGGUGCUCGAGUGGCGAACGGGUGAGUAACACGCGAGUAACCUGCCCUUGACUUUGGGAUAACUUCAGGAAACUGGGGCUAAUACCGGAUAGGAGCUCCUGCUGCAUGGUGGGGGUUGGAAAGUUUCGGCGGUUGGGGAUGGACUCGCGGCUUAUCAGCUUGUUGGUGGGGUAGUGGCUUACCAAGGCUUUGACGGGUAGCCGGCCUGAGAGGGUGACCGGCCACAUUGGGACUGAGAUACGGCCCAGACUCCUACGGGAGGCAGCAGUGGGGAAUAUUGCACAAUGGGCGGAAGCCUGAUGCAGCAACGCCGCGUGCGGGAUGACGGCCUUCGGGUUGUAAACCGCUUUCGCCUGUGACGAAGCGUGAGUGACGGUAAUGGGUAAAGAAGCACCGGCUAACUACGUGCCGGCAGCCGCGGUGAUACGUAGGGUGCGAGCGUUGUCCGGAUUUAUUGGGCGUAAAGGGCUCGUAGGUGGUUGAUCGCGUCGGAAGUGUAAUCUUGGGGCUUAACCCUGAGCGUGCUUUCGAUACGGGUUGACUUGAGGAAGGUAGGGGAGAAUGGAAUUCCUGGUGGAGCGGUGGAAUGCGCAGAUAUCAGGAGGAACACCAGUGGCGAAGGCGGUUCUCUGGGCCUUUCCUGACGCUGAGGAGCGAAAGCGUGGGGAGCGAACAGGCUUAGAUACCCUGGUAGUCCACGCUGUAAACGGUGGGUACUAGGUGUGGGGUCCAUUCCACGGGUUCCGUGCCGUAGCUAACGCUUUAAGUACCCCGCCUGGGGAGUACGGCCGCAAGGCUAAAACUCAAAGGAAUUGACGGGGCCCCGCACAAGCGGCGGAGCAUGCGGAUUAAUUCGAUGCAACGCGUAGAACCUUACCUGGGUUUGACAUGGAUCGGGAGCGCUCAGAGAUGGGUGUGCCUCUUUUGGGGUCGGUUCACAGGUGGUGCAUGGCUGUCGUCAGCUCGUGUCGUGAGAUGUUGGGUUAAGUCCCGCAACGAGCGCAACCCUUGUUCACUGUUGCCAGCACGUUAUGGUGGGGACUCAGUGGAGACCGCCGGGGUCAACUCGGAGGAAGGUGGGGAUGACGUCAAGUCAUCAUGCCCCUUAUGUCCAGGGCUUCACGCAUGCUACAAUGGCUGGUACAGAGAGUGGCGAGCCUGUGAGGGUGAGCGAAUCUCGGAAAGCCGGUCUCAGUUCGGAUUGGGGUCUGCAACUCGACCUCAUGAAGUCGGAGUCGCUAGUAAUCGCAGAUCAGCAACGCUGCGGUGGAUACGUUCCCGGGGCC